AUCCCACUGUGGCCUCCCUGC
rnacentral:miRNA from 1 species